AUGCCGGGCUACCUGACGGCGAUCCGGGAGUCGGAGAAUGUCCCGAUGCCGCCGCCCCUCGUCCAGGAGUACAUGCUGGUCGCCCCGGUCGCCGUCCACCCAGAGGACCCGCCGGACUUCCCCGGCUACCACGCCGCGGUGGCCGACUCGAUGGCUGCGCCGGCCGCGCCGGUGGUGCCCCUGGACGACAGCAGCAGCAGCAGCAACGACAGCGACGACGGCGACGGGCUCUACGACGAGGCGGACUUCGGCGGUGUCGAGGACGAGUAG
rnacentral:rRNA from 1 species